UACGAAGGGGGCUAGCGUUGCUCGGAAUCACUGGGCGUAAAGCGCACGUAGGCGGAUCUUUAAGUCAGGGGUGAAAUCCUGGAGCUCAACUCCAGAACUGCCUUUGAUACUGGGGAUCUCGAGUCCGGAAGAGGUGAGUGGAACUCCGAGUGUAGAGGUGAAAUUCGUAGAUAUUCGGAAGAACACCAGUGGCGAAGGGCGGCUCACUGGCCCGGUACUGACGCUGAGAUACGAAAGCGUGGGGAGCAAACAGGAGUAGAAACCCCG
rnacentral:rRNA from 1 species